UCUGGUACGUUCAACUAGCGUAAACGUAGAUAACCACGAGGGAGCACAUAUUCAUAACGCUGUACGCCUGGGCAAGGUAU
rnacentral:ncRNA from 20 species